rnacentral:rRNA from 1 species
AAAAAUCCGGGGGGUUAAUGCCGAGGCGCGGGACCAGGAGAACUUGUUCUCUGAAGUCGCGGAUACCCUGCUUCCAGGAAAAGCCACUAAGCUUCAGCCCGUUGGGACCGUACCGCAAACCGACACAGGUGGGCAGGAUGAAAAUUCUCAGGCGCUUGAGAGAACUCAGGAGAAGGAACUCGGCAAAUUGACACCGUAACUUCGGAAGAAGGUGUGCCUCUGGUAGGUGUAGGGACUUGCUCCCGAAGCCGAAAGAGGCCGCAGAGAAUCGGUGGCUGCGACUGUUUAUCAAAAACACAGCACUCUGCUAAGACGUUGGAAGUCGACGUAUAGGGUGUGACGCCUGCCCGGUGCCGGAAGGUUAAGUGAUGGGGUGAAAGCUCUUGAUCGAAGCCCCGGUAAACGGCGGCCGUAACUAUAACGGUCCUAAGGUAGCGAAAUUCCUUGUCGGGUAAGUUCCGACCCGCACGAAUGGCGUAACGAUGGCCACACUGUCUCCUCCUGAGACUCAGCGAAGUUGAAAUGUUUGUGAAGAUGCAAUCUACCCGCGGCUAGACGGAAAGACCCCAUGAACCUUUACUGUAGCUUUGCAUUGGACUGUGACGCUGUCUGUGUAGGAUAGCUGGGAGGCUUUGAAGCGGUGCCGCUAGGUGCCGUGGAGCCAACGUUGAAAUACCAGCCUGACGACGUUGCGGUUCUAACCUGGGCCCCUUGACGGGGUCGGGGACCGUGCAUGGUAGGCAGUUUGACUGGGGCGGUCUCCUCCCAAAGGGUAACGGAGGAGUGCGAAGGUCACCUAGGUACGGUCGGAAAUCGUACUCAUAGUGCAAUGGCAUAAGGUGGCUUGACUGCGAGACCGACAAGUCGAGCAGGUGCGAAAGCAGGUCAUAGUGAUCCGGUGAUUCUGAAUGGAAGGGUCAUCGCUCAACGGAUAAAAGGUACUCUGGGAUAACAGGCUGAUUCCUCCCAAGAGUUCAUAUCGACGGGGGAGUUUGGCACCUCGAUGUCGGCUCAUCACAUCCUGGGGCUGUAGCCGGUCCCAAGGGUAUGGCUGUUCGCCAUUUAAAGUGGUACGUGAGCUGGGUUCAAAACGUCGUGAGACAGUUUGGUCCCUAUCUGCCGUGGGCGCUGGAGAUUUGACGGGGGCUGCUCCUAGUACGAGAGGACCGGAGUGGACGUAUCCCUGGUGUACCGGUUGUCACGCCAGUGGCAUUGCCGGGUAGCUAUAUACGGAAGAGAUAACCGCUGAAAGCAUCUAAGCGGGAAACUCGCCUGAAGAUGAGAUCUCCCGGAGCUUCGAGCUCCCUAAAGGGUCGUGGUAGACCACCACGUUGAUAGGCCGGGUGUGCACGAGCAGUAAUGCUCUGAGCUGACCGGUACUAAUUGCCCGUGCGGCUUGACUCU